GCAAAUCAAGUUUCAACUCCUCAUUCAAUGAGAUCGAGAAGGACAGCCACAUGGGCCCGCCCUCGAAAUUCUGAUGAUGGAUAUUCUAGUGAUUCAAUUCUGAGGCAUGCAUCAAGCGAUUUCAAGAAAAUGGGUCAACGCAUUUUUGUAUUUAUAGUUGGUGGAGCUACACGAUCAGAGUUGCGGGCUUGUCACAAGUUAUCUACAAAGCUGAAGAGAGAGGUAGUUCUUGGUUCAUCCAGCAUCGAUGACCCUCCACAAUUUAUUACGAAAUUAAAGCUCCUGACUGCAGACGAGCUCUCGCUGGAUGAUUUGCAGAUCUAGAAACAAAUUGCUGGGGAAGAUGGCGACCGAAAUCUCUUAUUUCCCAGGCUAGCAUUCCAAUUGUAUACCAAACUACGUUGAUUCAUUUCAAUUUUUGACAGUCUUUUGGUAGAUAUCUGGUACAUUGAAAGGUUAAAUGCAAAGUUGGUGGAACAUUCAGAUUCCCCAGAACGUUACAAUGUGCCAACAAAUUAGGGGUUUGGGUGUGUUGUAUCAUUUUUAUAGGUUCCAUUCAAGACUUCCAUUGUGUGUAAUGUAAUUUCUGUUAAUGUAGAGGC
rnacentral:misc_RNA from 1 species